UACCGUAUGAGCCCUUCGGGGGAAAGAUUUAUCGGGAAAGGAUGAGCCCGCGUUGGAUUAGCUAGUUGGUGGGGUAAAGGCCUACCAAGGCGACGAUCCAUAGCUGGUCUGAGAGGAUGAUCAGCCACAUUGGGACUGAGACACGGCCCAAACUCCUACGGGAGGCAGCAGUGGGGAAUAUUGGACAAUGGGCGCAAGCCUGAUCCAGCCAUGCCGCGUGAGUGAUGAAGGCCCUAGGGUUGUAAAGCUCUUUCACCGGUGAAGAUAAUGACGGUAACCGGAGAAGAAGCCCCGGCUAACUUCGUGCCAGCAGCCGCGGUAAUACGAAGG
rnacentral:rRNA from 1 species